GGUAGCGAGGCUGAGCGGUUUAAGGUGCUGGGUUAAGGCUCCUGUCUCUUUGGGGCCGAGGGUUUGAAUCCCACCACUGCCA